rnacentral:lncRNA from 9 species
AGGAUUGGUCGCAAGUAGGAAGCUUUCGCCUCUACACUGGGACCCUCGGAAGGUGCCGGCGCAGUGCCUGAAGCUGUAGCGUGUGCCGCGCUCAGGUGCUCAGGUCCCCACGUAAAUACUAAUCGUUAAACCUGGAACUGAGGACCUGAAGACCUCAAGAGGUGCCUGGCUGGUGCCGUAUCCUCUUGCUGAGAAUGAAGAAUCUUCCCAGGAUUUCCAUGGAGAAAUUUCUCAACAUGGUGAUGUGCAAUUGACCUUGGGAUGCAUAACUUCGUUGGGGGAAUCACUGACAUAUAAUAACUCCACAGCAUGUGGCCCCAAGAACUGCCCUGAAAG